AGUUGCUGAGCCCUGGUCUAACCCACCAUCAUUAUCAUGCACAACUCAGAAGAUUCCAGGCUGUGGAUGAUCUGGCUUCUGUCUACUUCUUCAACCAUCCUUGCUCUCUCUUCCUCGAAUGUAUCAGUCUUCCAUCCCUCAGGAGUUUUGUAUCUGCUACAUCUUUUUGCCUGAAAUACCUUUAAAGGUUCAGCCUUGGGGACUGAGCCCUUAAUCAUUGGGGUCUGUGCUAACUGCCAGCACUCGGGGUUGUCAUGGCUGAGCUAUGGAGACCCCCACAUCCAGGAUCAGCAGUGUUGUGUGUGUGGUAUUAGUGUGAGAGGAAGGGAAAACACAGUGUUUUUCCUAGACAAGAUUUGGUACAACCUAGCAAUUAAGCAUUAAAAGAUGAUUAUUUUUGCUCUUUUCUGAUUUUUGCAAUGGCUAGAUAUUUGUGAGUAUAGUCAUUUAUGCCUCUCGUUCACCAGCUUGGAGUUGCAAACAUUUCACUCUUGUGUUUGUUCUCCAAAGUACAGCAAGUUAAUGUUUCCCUAAUCAGUAAGAACCCUAGCCAGUGGGGGCGCGUCCGUGAACAUGAAUAAAGGCCCUGGGCAUGCUUACUGGUAUCUUACCUUCAGUCCUGGUUGUCCUUUGGGCUUCCCGAUGGGGCAUGUUCUUGGACUUGUACUGCAAGACACAAAGGCUAGACCUUUGUUAUUUCUGGAGGACUAGAAGCAUCGGUAGCACCUGGGAAGGAGCUUGCUAGAAACUCAGUCUUGUAUGCCACCCUAGACAUAAUCCAAACCUAUUUAACAAGGGUGCCAGGUGAAUCUUGGGUCAACCUGGAUGCUGGUUGAUGUGGAAGAUGGUUCCAGCUGGUGCUUAUUGCCGCCACCAUCGCCUCUGAGGAUCUCCAGACACUUCUGCCUCUUGCAGCCUAGCUGACUCUGCUCCACCACCAUCCAGUUCAGAGUCUGGGACAGGGCCACAACUCUCCCUAAUCUAAGUCAUUCCACGGGUGGAAUGUAGCUCAGUGAAGUCCAAAUGGCCACCUUCAGCAAAACCUGUUAAUUCGGAGAUUAAAACCUUAUGUCCUAGAACCUUAUGCCACUCUCUUGGGCUGCCUCUACCAUGGCCCGGGACAGCUCAAUGCCUACAAUGGAACAAGCUUUAGGCAGCAUCCUGCCCCAGAAUCCUGAUCAAACCAACUCCUGGACGUAGGGAGAGAGGAAGCAAGUUUUUUCCUAAUUUCAUUCUUAGGACUGCUGGUUAGAACUCUCAUUUCCUGGCCCAGGAUUGACCCUUCUCUAGGAUGAUUGACAGUGGGAACAUCCAUUCCCUUCAGGGGAAACCCCACCUCCACCCACAGGGGCGUGGUCUGACAUAUAAUAGUUUGACAUAAGCACAUUCCCCUCAAGUUCAGGUUUUUGGUUUUAAGUAACACCACAUGUGGGAUAUCAACAGCCCUGGCAACUUUCUUUUCCGUUUCUUCUCAUCAAGAUUCUGAAACAUGAUUGUGUAAACUCAUCCUGGGCUACCUGGUUAUAUAAGAAUUCACUUGACAUGUUUAAAGCUUCCUGAGAACAGGUUAUAUACUUACUUAAGGAUCCAAGGAAGAAAAGUUAUGAUUAAGGAGAACUGGCUGAGAUAUGAAUAACAUUCCUUCAAUGUGCUGUGUACUAGAUACUGGGAUAUAUCCAAGCAGAAGGAAACCACAGAUCUGCCUUCCCAAAGCUGCAGACUAGAAGAUGAGAUGGAUGAUGAAGAACCAUCACAGCAAGGAUGGCCACUACAGAGACAGAAGAUUGGUGUGGAAGAACCAUGAGACCUUCCUUGACAUUCUCAGAAUUGGUGGAGGAGCUCUGUGAAUCCCAAAAGCUGAGUGGAAGGCAGAUGCAGAGACUGAAGAGCACGAGACACCAUCUGAGACAAGACCCCUGAAGUCCAUUUCCUGGGGGUGACACAACAGAAAUUGGGAAGAAGCCUGGGUCUCCAAUGAAUUGGACUUUGGAUCUCUGGACCUCUGUGUGUUUAAUAGAACUUUGUGUGUUUAAGGUACCAUUAAUUUGUGUUUCUGUCACAUUCAGGUGAAUUCAAUUGUAGCUACAUGUGGCUAGUAAAGUUCAAGUUGAACCAAACGACCAGCGCAUGAAUGAUUGUAAAUCCAUGAAAGUAUAACUCAAAUUCACUAAGAAAAUUUUUGUAGUUAAUGUUUGUAAUACACGGCCUAACUCUCUCAGCAGGGGAAUCUUUGACUCUAAUGAUCUAUACUAGAGACAAGCGCGGUUCAACAGAAUUUUCUGCCGUGAUGGAAUGUUCUGUUUUGGGGUUAGGUCUAUGGAAACCACUAGUCAAAAAUGGCUAUUGAGCUCUUGAAACGUUGCCUUUGUGACUGAGAAGCAGAAUUUUAAAAAUUAUUUAUUUGUAAUUACUUUAAUUUGGAGUAGCUACACAUGGCUUAUAGCUACUUAGUUGAACAGGACAACUCUGACUCAGAGUUUGACACAUCCUCAACACAUCCACAAUUUUCCUUGAUUUGAGCUACAUGUUAAGCCAAGAGACUGGAUCCCAAAAAUGAUGGUAGACUGGUGAAGCCAGUUACAGCUAAUUGAAGCUGCCUCUUAGAAGAGUAGAGUGAACAUCAAAGGGAGUUUAAAACAUCCCUUACCCCCACAAUAAGAAUAUGCCUAAAUACAUUUAAAUGUAUCACACUACAUUGUUGUAGAAUCUUAAAACACAGAAGGUUGAAAUACAGAUUUGUUUCUUUUGGUAGCAGCCCUGAGAAACCCGAAGUGUUGUGGGGUAGAUUUGUUUCUUCUGUACUCCCCGCAAAGUUGACCUUUGACCCUGUGCUAUUGUCUCAGUGACCCCACUGAUUUCCAGGCUUAUUCCUUUAUUUCUGGUGAAUAAGAUCUCUUUCUUGUUACCAGGUGUUCACUGAGAUUACCAGGCUCUGCCUACAGGUGGCACAGUGUGAGCAUAGCUAUUUAUUCUGGAUCUUGUUCCAUUCCUGUCCCUUUACAUUCUUUGUAAAACUGUAAGUGGCUAAAACAAAUACUCUUUUGCCGGUGGCUUAACUGUCACGUGUUCUAUCAACAGCCCUCCCAGGCAGGGCUGUUAUUAGCAAGGUGGACCUGCUUAUUUUCCUACUCUGCACUACAAGCAGAAGAUUUCUAACAGCUGGUGAUGGGAAGCCGGGUGUUUCCGUGUUUUUAUGUAUAUCAGAGAACCUGCCUUUACAGUGGACUUUCAGAGUUAGAAAACAAUGCUAGAAUUCCAAAAAAGUCCAAGAUCUUUAUUAAAAGACCAAAUCCAUAUCAGUCGUCCCCUCCUUUGUCUGUGGGGGAUAAAUUUCCACAACCACAGCAGACGCCCAAAACUGUGGAUAGUAACUGAAACCUGUAUAUACAUGUUUUUUCCCCCUAUAUACACCAUAUCUAUGAUAAAGUUUCAUUUAUAAAUUAUGCAUAGUUAGAGAAUAACAACAACAAUAAUAAAAUAGAACAAUGAUCAUGAUUAUAAUUAUAAUUAUAAUAAAAGUUAGGUGAAUGUGCUUUGUCUCUCUCACCAUCUCUCUCUCAAAAUAUCUUAUUGUCCUGUACUCACCCUUCUUCUCGUGAUGAUGUGUGAAGAUAGAAGACAUACAUGAUGAGAUGAAGUGAGGUGAGUGACGUUGUGCUGGCGUUGUGACGUGGCGUUAGGCUACUACUAACCCUCUAGUAAUCAGAAAGAGAAUCAUCUGCUUCUUGAACAUGCUUGACCCUGGAUAUCUGAAACCUCAGAAAGCAGAACUGCGGAUAAGAGGGGACUACUGUGUGUGUCCACACACACGUACACACAUGCAGAAUUUGUGCUGGUUGUCUUAAUUUUCUAUGUAAAUGGAUUUUCUGGUUUAUGAAUUACUCAGUGGAGGGGUCUCCCUGACUUUCUGCCUGGAUUCUAGAGAUUAAUGCCUGACAGAGAAUAGGGAAGUGUAUGAAUGGUUUCUGCUACUUUCUAAAGGGGGGAAAAAAAAAGCAUUGAUUUUUUUCGUAUGCAUAUCUUUUCCCAUCCACUCCAUUGAAUGACUGUAUAGCUCAGGGCAGGUUGCCUUUGUGACUAUAGGUGAGGUACCACCCAGAAAAUUUCUGUUCCUUAUGCGGGCUCUGAGAGUUUUGGUGCUAUCCAGAUUUAGAUGUGUGACUCAACAUAUCACUUUAUAGAGGUGUGACUUUUGGCAAUUGUUUAACUUCUCGGUUUACUCAUCUUCAGAAUGUGGAUAAUAAUAGCCUCUCUGCAUUGGGUCAUUAUGUGACUUAAGUGUGAUAAGGUAAUUUAAUGUGGUUAGUAUUUUCUUUGCAACAUAGUAAGUGUUCAAUAAAGAUACAGUUAUUAGUAUACUGUUUCAAAUUAGUGAACAAAUAUAUUGUCAUUCUUUUUAUUGAAAAGCAUUAAAGUGCCCACUUCCACAUAUUCUAUUCUAAUCAUGCCUAGUUAUUGACAUAGAGACAUAAAAAAUAUGUAAUAUGAACUACAUUCAUAUGUACUGUAAUUCAAGUCAGGUUUUUGUUGAGGUGGGGAGUGUUGGGGGAUACUCAAUCACAAAAUCACUUCACACAAGAAAGUCCAGCCUGAAGUGUCAAAGAGGAAUUCAUGGCUUUGAAUGAAGACAAACCAGGUCAAACGCAUUGUUAAGUACUAAGAAGGUACAAUAAUUCAUUUCCCCUGGAAUAUUAAAUAAAAUCCAGCUUAACUGAAUAAGGACAUGCAAAAAUCUGAAAUCAUCCACCUAAGUAGGGUGAGAGAAAAACUUGCCCAGAAAAGGAAUUAGCGUCACACUGGACCGUGGAAAGCAGGGGACAGUGGAACUCUCAACUGCGAACUAUUUUUACUAUGGUAAAAAU